AUUGAACGCUGGCGGCAGGCUUAACACAUGCAAGUCGAGCGAGCGGCGGACGGGUGAGUAAUGACUGUGAAACUGCCUGGUGGAGGGGGUUAACUACCGGAAACGGUAGCUAAUAACGCAUACCAUCAGAUGUGCCCAGGUGGGAUUAGCUAGUGGGUGGGGUAAUGGCUCACCUAGGUGACGAUCCCUAGCUGGUCUGAGAGGAUGAACAGCCACACUGGAACUGAGACACGGUCCAGACUCCUACGGGAGGCAGCAGUGGGGAAUAUUGGACAAUGGGCGCAAGCCUGAUACAGCCAUGCCGCGUGUGUGAAGAAGGCCUUCGGGUUGUAAAGCACUUUCAGCGAGGAGGCGUUACUCGCAGAAGAAGCACCGGCUAACUCCGUGCCAGCAGCCGCGGUAAUAC
rnacentral:rRNA from 1 species